rnacentral:rRNA from 1 species
UACGUAGGGGGCUAGCGUUGUCCGGAAUCAUUGGGCGUAAAGCGCGUGUAGGCGGCCCGGUAAGUCCGCUGUGAAAGUCGGGGGCUCAACCCUCGGAUGCCGGUGGAUACUGUCGGGCUGGAGUACGGAAGAGGCGAGUGGAAUUCCUGGUGUAGCGGUGAAAUGCGCAGAUAUCAGGAAGAACACCCGUGGCGAAGGCGGCUCUCUGGGACGGUACUGACGCUGAGACGCGAAAGCGUGGGGAGCGAACAGG